CGUAACAUAUGGGUAGCCUUGGAGAUGCUCUGGGAGGGACUAGUCUGGCAAGAUUCCGAAAAAAUGCUAACGCAUUACCUACAAAACCAACAGAAGCAUUCCGUACGUUGCUAGAGAUGGGUGGAAAACCUCCAAGAAGCUGUCCCCACGAAACAACCACGGAAUUGGUAAUAGAAGUUAGCAACAUAAUCUCACGGCAAAUGUAAAAAUAAGUACAACAUGAACAAUUGCAUUGUCCAAGUUGUAACAUCUAAAAUACUACUAACAUAAAGACACUAAAAUGAAGACACCAUAUGCUAGAGCCAGAAGCGCUGGUGGACAGUAUGGAAAUGCUGGAGUCACUUGGAACAUCAAUUCCACUUCCACACACAUGUAGUUGAAAAUUUGAGUUUGAAGAAUUGUCAUUAAUAGUGUAAAAGAUUCAACGAUUAGCUCUUUCUUUCUGAUUCUUGAGAAUGGCCAUCAACCCUCCUAAGCCAGUUGAUAUAUGUGUAAACACUUGGCCUUUGAACCUGGGAGAUUUCGGAGAAACUGACUUAUUACACAAACAGGUAGCGAAAGAACUGCAUUUUAACAUCUAAGUGAAGUUAAAACAAACGGAUCUUAACGAUCCACCUUUUUCAUGGCACUUGAGUUCUACAUUUUUUUUACUCCGUAAUUCUCUAAGAAAUUGUCUAAGCAAAGAUUCUGCUAUUAAUCCAAACAAACGAUGCACUAUUUUCAAAUUUUUCGCGACAGAUAUGAGUUGAACCCUGACUGUAUCUUCAAUAGUUACAAGUAAAGAGUGCCAUAUUUAGGGGCCGUUCGGGUAAGCUUAAAAAAGUGCUUCUUGCUUCAAGUAAAAAAUUGAAGUAGAAGUGAGAAGUAAAUUAAGACUUAUAAGUGAUUAAACUGUUUGAGAAAGAAAUGAAAAGUCUUGAAAAAAAGCUAGCAUUCUCAUCUUCUUAUAAGUACUUCUGACUUUUUACGCAAAUGGGUCAAGAAAAGUAGAAGCCAGCUUCUUAUCGAAAAAAGCCAGAAGUACUCGUUGGCAAACAAGCACUUAGUACCGGUAACACUAAACUAGGAAAAUUAAAGAGUAAUGCUCAAGAAUUACCCAAUAUUUCAUGUUGAAAACAGAUGGCCAUAUAUGCUGGUUCAUCGUGACUUGCUUGUGUGGUUGGAACCAUCAGAAC
rnacentral:lncRNA from 1 species